CCUACGGGUGGCAGCAGUGAGGAAUAUUGGUCAAUGGACGGGAGUCUGAACCAGCCAAGCAGCGUGAAGGAUGACUGCCCUAUGAGUUGUAAACUUCUUUUGUACAAGGAUAAACCUAGGCACGUGUGCCUUUUUGCAUGUACUUUAUGAAUAAGGAUCGGCUAACUCCGUGCCAGCAGCCGCGGUAAUACGGAGGAUCCGAGCGUUAUCCGGAUUUAUUGGGUUUAAAGGGAGCGUAGAUGGGUUGUUAAGUCAGUUGUGAAAGGUUGCGGCUUAACCGGAAAAUUGCAAUUGAUACUGGCAGUCUUGAGUAUAGUUGAGGUAGGCGGAAUUCGUGGUGUAGCGGUGAAAUGCUUAGAGAUCACGAAGAACCCCGAUUGCGAAGGCAGCUUACUAAACUGUGACUGACAUUGAUGCUCGAAAGUGUGGGUAGCAAACAGGAUUAGAUACCCGGGUAGUC
rnacentral:rRNA from 1 species